GAAGAUUCCGUAGGUGAACCGGCGGAUAUGCAUAUCAAUCAGCCGAGGACGCUUCCGUAGAAGACACCCUCGAACUCUGUCUGAAGAUUGUAGACUGAGUGACAAUAUAAAUUAUUUAAAACUUUCAACAACGGAUCUCUUGGUUCCGGCAUCGAUGAAGAACGCAGCGAAAUGCGAUACGUAAUGUGAAUUGCAAAUUCGGUGAAUCAUCGAGUCUUUGAACGCACAUUGCGCCCCCUGGUAUUCCGGGGGGCAUGCCUGUCCGAGCGUCAUUGCUGCCCUCAAGCACGGCUUGUGUGUUGGGCCCCGUCCUCCGAUCCCGGGGACGGGCCCGAAAGGCAGCGGCGGCACCGCGUCCGGUCCUCGAGCGUAUGGGGCUUUGUCACCCGCUCUGUAGGCCCGGCCGGCGCUUGCCGAUCAACCCAAAUUGUUAUCCAGGUUGACCUCAGAUCAGGUAGGGAUACCCGCUGAACUUAAGC
rnacentral:rRNA from 1 species